AAACCGGAGCUAAUACCGGAUAGUUCCUUGAACCGCAUGGUUCAAGGAUGAAAGACGGUUUCGGCUGUCACUUACAGAUGGACCCGCGGCGCAUUAGCUAGUUGGUGGGGUAAUGGCUCACCAAGGCGACGAUGCGUAGCCGACCUGAGAGGGUGAUCGGCCACACUGGGACUGAGACACGGCCCAGACUCCUACGGGAGGCAGCAGUAGGGAAUCUUCCGCAAUGGACGAAAGUCUGACGGAGCAACGCCGCGUGAGUGAUGAAGGUUUUCGGAUCGUAAAGCUCUGUUGUUAGGGAAGAACAAGUGCGAGAGUAACUGCUCGCACCUUGACGGUACCUAACCAGAAAGCCACGGCUAACUACGUGCCAGCAGCCGCGGUAAUACGUAGGUGGCAAGCGUUGUCCGGAAUUAUUGGGCGUAAAGGGCUCGCAGGCGGUUUCUUAAGUCUGAUGUGAAAGCCCCCGGCUCAACCGGGGAGGGUCAUUGGAAACUGGGAAACUUGAGUGCAGAAGAGGAGAGUGGAAUUCCACGUGUAGCGGUGAAAUGCGUAGAGAUGUGGAGGAACACCAGUGGCGAAGGCGACUCUCUGGUCUGUAACUGACGCUGAGGAGCGAAAGCGUGGGGAGCGA
rnacentral:rRNA from 1 species